UUAGUGGCGGACGGGUGAGUAACGCGUGGAUAACCUGCCGUAUACAGGGGGAUAACACUUAGAAAUAGGUGCUAAUACCGCAUAAGCGCACGGUUCCGCAUGGAACAGUGUGAAAAACUCCGGUGGUAUACGAUGGAUCCGCGUCUGACUAGCCAGUUGGCGGGGUAACGGCCCACCAAAGCGACGAUCAGUAGCCGGCCUGAGAGGGUGAACGGCCACAUUGGGACUGAGACACGGCCCAAACUCCUACGGGAGGCAGCAG
rnacentral:rRNA from 1 species